AAGUGGAAGUGAGAGAAGGCGCCGUCCCUUUUCCUGUGCGCCCCUCAGAGAAGCUAAGGGUUUCCUUCUGCUCUCCAUCCAUCUUGGUCCAGCCCCGCAGGGCUGCUGGAGGGUCCGACUCGCUCCUUUCCCCUCGGCGUGUGUGCUCCAACAGAGUGGUUGAUUCAGUGUGAUGGCUGCUGUCACUGAGGCUUCAAACUCUGGGGGGAAACAGCUUCCUAAUAAUAGAGAAACUAUGAUCUGGAAGCCCAGAAAAGAAUGUUUGGUGAAGAAUAUUCCAAAUGUUCCUGAUGGCAAGUCUGAAGAAAGUGAAUCUGCUUCUACCUUUCCCAAUCAAGGUGAUGUCAGUGGCUCUACUGAUAAUGGUUGGUACAAUAUAUAUGCUGACCUGGAUGUGUGGGAUAGUGAAGUCUCCAAUGUACCUGAGUCUCCAGGGCAGCAAGGUGCAUCUGAGUAUGAGGUGGAGGACUGGGAUAAAGAAUUGGAGGAGGCUACAUGUGGUCCUUACGAUGCUGAUGAUCUCUCCUGUGGAAGCUUUGAGGAAAAUAAUCUUUUCGGCUCUUAUGUAUGGGAAGAGGAUUGGUUUUACAACCCAGGCUGUCACCACACACCUUGCUUUGCUUUUCCACCACAAGUUAGAACAGUUGAGAAGGGCCAGUUUGAUGAUGCUGAUGAAUGAGGUUGACCCUGGUCAGAAAUAAAUUUGGCUUCUGAGCUGGAUUAUGUUCCUCACCCAUUGAGCUGUGUCAAGUCCCUUGGCUUUUUUGCAGAGUUGGGCCUGAGGCCAGAAAUGCGACACCAUUUCCAAGGUUUUGCUUAGACUGUUUCUGAGCUGUUCACAAACUGACCACCCUUGCCCUGGAGACAAGAGUGCGGGUGCUGGCUGUAAGGAGUCACUGCAUUUCUGGAGGUUUUGUUUGUAUUGUAUGUUACUAGUUAAUUGCCUGAGGAGAAAUAUUUAAUUUCUAAACUUCAGCUUGUUUGCCAGGCUUCUGUCAGUUUUGUCAUGCUGAUCCCUGUGUUUUUGUGUAACUUGUAGUUUUCUUUCCUUUUCAUUUUAUGCUGUCAGAUUGGUUUGGAUAGCUUUAAAAACUCUCCCUCCUUCAAGCUUCUCUGUUGUAUUUCCAUAUGGUUCUAAUGUCCAUUUGUGAUUCUGAUACUGCUGUUUAACAAAAUCAGCUGUGGCAAGUACAGAAGGAGUUGUUCUGUGUUUUUUGUGUAUUUCAGCAUAAAGGAAUUACAAACAAUGAUACACAUUUUGCAAAUACACGUGUUGAUUUAUAGGGGGGCCUGCUCCAUCUAGUAGGAAUGCUGGGUGCUUAAGGCUGCCUCCCAACAAAGAUUUCUCCACAUCAGACCUUCUUGUGUAUGGGCAUAUUACCCUAGAAUCCUACAGUUCUCUUUCUUACAUUCUCAUGCAACAUCAAGUGUGCAGUGACAAAGAAAAUAUCUCUGCUUAUAUAUAUAUAUAUUGCAGUAUAUAAUCUCUGUGUCCUGCAGCCAGUAUUGAAUUAAGGUUCCUGAUGCUGUUCUGCUGUUUGUGUUGUGGCAAAUGAGGAUAUGGGAACACAAAAUACCUCCACAGAGUCCCUAAGAGAAUAGCUGGAACGAGAACCACAUCCUUCUCACCUUUGGAGUUAAAGGAAAUGUUCUCAAAUGAAGUAUAUAAGUGGAUUGAGUGGCUGGUCACCUGAGUAACAAUAACCUUAAUCAUGCUCAUGUUUCAUUAAUCGCUUUUAUCUCAAAAAUGUUUUCAUGGCUUUGUGCUGAACUGGAGCACAGUACAAUGUUUGGGUUUUUUGGUUUGGGUUAUUUUUUUCAAUCAUCCAGUGUAUGGGACCAAAAUAAUUCAUGCACUAGUUUAGAAAGAGGAAGUGAAUGUCACAGUGAUGUUUCCUUAAUAUUUUCCUAGAGAGCACAGGAGGACAAGAACUUGUAAGACAAGAGCUUUUCUUUGGCUAGCUUUCAAUUCCUGGUUGUAUUCUGGUACCUAGCAGUCAAAGCAGAGUGGAAGCGUAGUGUUAAGGUUGCAAAAAAGAGGGCCUGGUCUUUUACUCCCAUAUGAUGGAGUAAUCUAGGGAUUAAUAUGUCUAUCAACACUUCCUCAGUUAUGCCAGUAACUGGCUCAUCAUCUCAAGUGAAAAGGUUGAUUUGCAAUUAUAAAUGCAGUAUUCAUAAAGAUAAAUUGAGUGCAGAUUACUUUUGAAGUAACAAUACACCAGUGAAUAAUAAAAAUUCCUCUGAAAACUCCCUGGUUCUUUAGUGAGCCGGUUUAUCCAGUGCAGGCCCAACUGUGGGUGACAAGGCCCAAGACUUCCCUGCAGAGGGCAGCAGAAAAUUGUCUGCCCUGCUCGGUGUGUGCUUAGCAGUGUGAGUUCCCCGGGCUGGAUUUCUAACACUGACAGCAAUUUAGAUCAGAGUUCUGCAUAGCCCUGUUGUUCCCCAGUGAGGUUGAUUCAUGGCCCUGAUUAGUUUCUCUUUUUUUUUUUUUUUAUUUCACUCUGAAGUAACACUUACUGGACUGAAAAAUUUCUCCCAUGGCUGAGUGAAGAACAUCACUUGACUUCAGGCUUAAUAUAUUUUUUUUUUACUAUGCUUGUGGGAGAUAUCCCACUGUAUUCAAUAAAGAUGAAACUAAUAGAAUUCUGUGGAAGCAAACCCAUCCUUUGUAGAAUUGUUUUAUAAGGAUAACCAAAAAGUCUUUAUAACACCGAUUAGGAUGAUUUUUCUUCCUGUACAGUUCCAAAAUUCCGUCAGUCCUGACUCUUCAAGCCAUUUUCCAUGCACUUUAUAAAUCAAGGUGGUUUUUUACCUUGUACCUUUAAUUGCAAUCAGUCUUGUCUGUCUCAAAGUUCUUACUAUUUGAGGAGAAAUUGUACUGAAUGGGUGCCUUGCUAAGCUGUUUGUAUUUUAAAUGACAGUAAACUUUAAAGAUUUGUUUUCAGUUUCCAUUUAAAGGUAAAACUGGCACCACCCCCUCCAGCUUUGGACAACCAGGAUUUUGCAGCAGAAGUGCACUGUUCUCUCUAGGG
ensembl:lncRNA